rnacentral:rRNA from 1 species
ACACCGCCCGUCACACCAUGGAAGUUGGGGCGCCCGAAGUUGGUCGAAAGAUAGAUUACCUAAGGCGAAAUCAAUGACUGGGUGAAGUCGUAACAAGGUACC